rnacentral:rRNA from 1 species
UACGGAGGGUGCAAGCGUUGUUCGGAAUCACUGGGCGUAAAGGGCGUGUAGGCGGUCCGCUAAGUCUGAUGUGAAAGCCCGAGGCUUACCCUCGGAAGUGCAUUGGAGACUGGCGGACUUGAGUCCCGGAGAGGAGGGUGGAAUUCCUGGUGUAGCGGUGAAAUGCGUAGAUAUCAGGAGGAACACCGGUGGCGAAGGCGGCCCUCUGGACGGUGACUGACGCUGAGACGCGAAAGCGUGGGGAGCAAACAGG